rnacentral:rRNA from 1 species
UAGGGAAUCUUCGGCAAUGGGGGGAACCCUGACCGAGCAACGCCGCGUGAGUGAAGAAGGUUUUCGGAUCGUAAAGCUCUGUUGUUAAGGAAGAACGAGUGUGAGAAUGGAAAGUUCAUGCUGUGACGGUACUUAACCAGAAAGGCACGGCUAACUACGUGCCAGCAGCCGCGGUAAUACGUAGGUCCCGAGCGUUGUCCGGAUUUAUUGGGCGUAAAGCGAGCGCAGGCGGUUAGAAAAGUCUGAAGUGAAAGGCAGUGGCUCAACCAUUGUAGGCUUUGGAAACUGUUUAACUUGAGUGCAGAAGGGGAGAGUGGAAUUCCAUGUGUAGCGGUGAAAUGCGUAGAUAUAUGGAGGAACACCGGUGGCGAAAGCGGCUCUCUGGUCUGUAACUGACGCUGAGGCUCGAAAGCGUGGGGAGCGAACAGG